AGCGAACGCUGGCGGCAGGCUUAACACAUGCAAGUCGAGCGGGCAUCCUUGUGGUGUCAGCGGCAGACGGGUGAGUAACGCGUGGGAACGUGCCCUUCGGUUCGGAAUAACUCAGGGAAACUUGAGCUAAUACCGGAUACGUGCGAGAGCAGAAAGGUUUAUCUGCCGAAGGAUCGGCCCGCGUCUGAUUAGCUAGUUGGUGAGGUCACGGCUCACCAAGGCGACGAUCAGUAGCUGGUCUGAGAGGAUGAUCAGCCACACUGGGACUGAGACACGGCCCAGACUCCUACGGGAAGCAGCAGUGGGGAAUAUUGGACAAUGGGGGCAACCCUGAUCCAGCCAUGCCGCGUGAGUGAUGACGGCCUUAGGGUUGUAAAGCUCUUUUCUCCGGGACGAUAAUGACGGUACCGGAGGAAUAAGCCCCGGCUAACUUCGUG
rnacentral:rRNA from 1 species